CUCCUUCCCCUCCCUCGUAGCCUAGCAGAUGCCCCCACCCCCUCGUGUUUUCGACGUCCUCUAGCUCGUCUCCGAUGACGGGCGUUCCUCUUAGUGACGAUGCAAUCUAGUGUUCGGAUGCACGUCCUCCGGCAUUCUCCCUGACAACCCAUGGCAGUACGACGCCCUCUAGCAACCUAAGAAAGCACGAGCUCCGGCGACGGCCCACGGACGACAACGACGGGUUCUUCAACUGCAUUGAACGGAAAUAAAGCCGUGCCAAACGGUAUUUUGUGUAAUUCUCCCUAGCAUUUUGGUUCUAUAUCUCUUUUUUGACGUUUCCCUCACAAGCUCCAGCGACCAAGCUGCGAUUUGCACGACCCACAGUGGCCCGAGCUUAGCCACCGACGGCGAUUUUUGCACCAGGCACGACAGUCCGGUGAAUCUGCAGUGUUCGCCAUGGAUCAACAGUGUGCGGCGACGGCUUGGCUGUUUGACAAUGACUUCCGACUGCUUCGGGUCUGAACGACACCUUCGUCACCUAAACUCGCAUACAACAACUUUCGGUAGUAGAUUUGGUGCGUCUCCCCUCCUGUAACUUAUGGACAACAGCAUUUUAGUGGCAUUUGGCACUUACCUGUACUGGUUUAAAGCUCGAUAUACGUUGCCCACGCUUGUUCAGGUACUGAACCAACGUAAGAUCUAAGAGCGUAGGCGUGUGUUUUGUAGGUAACAAAGUCGCUCACGGGAAUGGUGCUGGCGAGGAGGAGGCUUGACUGGAAAGAUCAUAUAACAUUGCAUUAAUUUAUUUUCAGUUUUAGUUAUGAUAGUUGUAGUUACUUCAUUUUAUAGUUGAGAUGCUACUAGUUGGUGCUGUUUAGUUUUCCUAUUUAUGUACUCUAUUCGAGACCCUAGUUGUACAAAGUUCAGAUAGUUGGCAAAGCUUAGUUUGAUUUAUUAUUGAGUUUGGUUCCUUGU